AUGAAUAAACACUAUUUUAAAAUUUCAUGAAAAUACAUGGAACAGAGAAACAAUGUGACUGAGUUUGUUCUCUUGGGCCUUACUCAGAGUCCUGAAGGCCAGAAAAUAUUAUUUGUUGUGUUCUUGGUCAUCUAUGUUGUGACAAUGGCAGGAAAUCUACUCAUUGUUGUGACUGUUGUGGUCAGCCCAAGUUUAGAUGCCCCCAUGUACUUCUUUCUUGGCUACUUAUCAUUUAUGGAUGCUGUUUAUUCAACCACAGUUACACCAAAUAUGAUUAUAGACUUACUUUAUGAGAAAAAAACUAUUUCCUUCAAAGCUUGCAUGAGCCAGCUUUUCAUAGGACACUUGUUUGGUGGAGCUGAGAUCUUACUCUUAGUUGUCAUGGCCUAUGACCGGUAUGUAGCCAUCUGCAAACCCUUGCAUUAUCUGACCAUCAUGAACCAACGUGUAUGUGUUUUGCUAUUGUUGUUGGCCUGGUUUGGGGGUUUCUUACAUGCCGUAGUCCAACUUUUAUUUGUAUAUAACCUUCCUUUCUGUGGUCCUAAUAUCAUUGAUCACUUCAUCUGUGACAUGUACCCCUUAUUAAAAUUAGCCUGCACAGACACAUAUGUUAUUGGCCUCACAGUUGUUGCCAAUGAUGGGGCAAUCUGUGUGGUCAUCUUUAUGCUGUUGAUCAUUUCUUAUGGGGUCAUUCUUCACUCUUUGAAGAAUCUCAGUCAGGAAGGAAGGCGCAAAGCCUUAUCCACCUGUGGCUCCCAUAUCACUGUGGUUGUUCUCUUCUUUGUUCCCUGUAUUUUUAUGUAUGUGAGACCUCCUUCUACUUUACCCAUUGAUAAGUCAUUAACUGUAUUUUACACUGUUAUCACCCCAAUGCUAAAUCCCCUCAUAUAUACUCUGAGAAAUGCAGAGAUGAAAAAUGCCAUGAGAAAACUUUGGACAAGUAAAGGGAAAUGA